rnacentral:rRNA from 1 species
GCAGCCUGCAACUCGGCUGCAUGAAGCCGGAAUCGCUAGUAAUCGCGGAUCAGAACGCCGCGGUGAAUACGUUCCCGGGUCUUGUACACACCGCCUGUCACACCAUGGGAGUCGGAAAUGCCCGAAGUCAGUGACCUAACCGAAAGGGAGGAGCUGCCGAAGGUGGAGCCGGUAACUGGGGUGAAGUCGUAACAAGGUAAC